UACGUAGAAGACUAGUGUUAUUCAUCUUUAAUAGGUUUAAAGGGUACCUAGACGGUAUAAUUAGUCUUUAACAGGAAACGGUUAUACUAGAGUUAUAUAUGAGGAGGUGAGUAUUUGUGGAGUAGAGUUGAAAUUCUUUGAUACCAUGAAGACUGGUAAAGGCGAAAGACAACCUUUAUCUAAUAACUGACGUUGAGGGACGAAGGCUCGGUCGCGAACAGG
rnacentral:rRNA from 1 species